AAUAUGCGCAGUUACGAGUUUCAGUGCCCAACUUUAACCAUCCGUUUUAUUUAAAAUAUUUUUAUGAUUAGUAUUUUUAUUGUUAUUAGAUAAUAAAAUAUAAAUAGUACUUUAUGCGUUACUUAACUUUUAAAAUUUUUUCAUAAUUUUUUCAAAUAAGAUGGACGGUCAAAUGUUAGGCACGAAAACUUAUGGCUGCACUUAAU
rfam:Oryza barthii chromosome 6, whole genome shotgun sequence.